rnacentral:rRNA from 1 species
AUGGAAACCGAUUGCUUGGAGAUUGUGACUCUCUGGAAAUCUCGUCAUUACAGGUUGUCUGUGGUGGCACCAGUAUUAUUAGAGAUUAGAGAGCUAGCUUCCUUGUUUUCUUUUUUUGAUAUUCAACAUGUAAACCGAUCAGCCAAUGUCCCGGCCCAUCUCUGUGCAAAGCAUGCUUGCACUCUGACGGUCACUGAGAGUUGGACUGGUUUGAGACCCUCUUUCCUGCUCACCAACUUGCUAGCUGAUGAUGCCAGGAGUUCGUUUGUUGAAUAA